GAGACGAAGGUCACAGUCUUCCGGUCGCCCCCUGCCUCUCGCUAGUACAGCAGGCAGGGGGCAGGAGCGACACUGUGUGCUAGCUUACUAGCACACGGUGUCUCCCCCGCUUACCGCUAGCUACGCAGUCCCAACCGGAGCGCAUACUCAGACCAGCCGGUGCAUGGACAUCCUGUGCCAGUGUGAUCCGAGCGCGAGCGUCCAGUUGUGGAGACUACAGCACAUCGAGCCUAUGGAUUGACAGACAUGAGGUGUAAUAUGCAGAACAUCAGGCUCACACCCCAAGAAGCAGUGCAUGAGCAACUCCACCUUCAGCAAGGAGAUCUGCUGGAAGUGGUGUACUCGCUCUCUCACUCUGGGGGUAAGACAUCAUUUAAAAAAUCACAGUUAAAGUUAACUACAUUACUUCAGUUGGCUGCUUUGAACAAAACGUGUAUGUAAUAUAACCUAUUAUGGGAGCCUAGUGUGUGUGUAUGAACUAUGAAAACAGGUACUGGCAGGAGGAGCAAUAUGAGUCUGGCAGAGGUCAUCACGCUGGAUGGGGAUGGUGAUGGAGGCUUUGGUGGUUCACACAAUAAAGAAGCAGUGUCCCUUCCAGUGAAGUGGAGCUGACCUUGGACCUGGUGCCAGUAAGGAUGGUCUCCUUGAUAUAGAAAUCCUUCAACUUCAAUGCCUCUUCAAUGUUAAGGUCCACCGCACCAUCGGGAGACUUGUCGUCCACCACUGCUGUGAUGCCCACUAGACUAUCCGACAACACCCCAUCCAACAACUGUGAUCUGAGAAACCUGUUUAGCAGUGGAGUAACGCGCUUGGCCCUAACCACUGCUCCAUAUUUGCUGGCCAUCAACCUCCCUCUCCUCAUGGUGUGCCAGUUGGGGUUGGUGUGCUCACCAACUGUUGCCUGCCGAAUAGCCUCCUGCUGCUCCACCGACAGUGCCAUGCCAGCCAGGAUGCUCAAAGUGGUCGUUCUGGAUCCAGUUCAAGGACAUAUGCCAUUCCAGUGAACCUGGCCAGGAGACUGUUCCGUAGCCACUGAAGAUCCUCCUCUGUGGGCUCUCGGGGCAAGUCUUUGUAGUCUUUGGCCGGGUACAGCUCCUCCACGGACUGCUCCUGGUUGGGCACGGUUGCCUUCCUCACCCCGCAUUCCACGUCCAAUAUUGUGAACUGCUGAAAUAUGUUGCAUGGCUACACUUAUGAGCUCCAGUGAGACAUUUGCAUGUGAUAGAGAGAAUCCCCUGGCCACCUAUAGAGACCUGCCAAAAGGAAGGAUGUUAAGUGCCUCAUGCCUUUCAAUGCAUGACUUUGAACACCUUGAAAUGAAUUUAAAAUCAAAUCCAAUUGAAUUUUUCACAUGCGCCGAAUACAAUCUUACCGUGAAAUGCUAACUUACAAGCCCUUAGCCAACAAUGCAGUUAAGAAAAAUAGU